AAUCUAAUCAAUCGAAUCGGUGCAGCAGUGCAAUGACCUAGUAAGUAUAAUAAUGUAACUUAUGUAAUGAAAUGUUUAUAAUAAAACUUCUUUCUAUGAUUUACUAGCUUUUCCGUUCCAGUUUUACCUUUAAGGGGUUUUCGGUGAGAAUUUUUGGAUAAACAGCGCAAG